AUGCCAAUGGCACUGCCCGGUAGCUAAAUGCGGAAGAGAUAAGUGCUGAAAGCAUCUAAGCACGAAACUUGCCCCGAGAUGAGUUCUCCCUGAGACUUUAAGUCUCCUGAAGGAACGUUGAAGACGAUGACGUUGAUAGGCCGGGUGUGUAAGCGCAGCGAUGCGUUGAGCUAACCGGUACUAAUGAACCGUGAGGCUUAACCUU
rnacentral:rRNA from 1 species